rnacentral:rRNA from 1 species
ACAGGAUUAGAUACCCUGGUAGUCCACGCUGUAAACGAUGAAUGUUAAAUAUGGGAAGUUUACUUUCUGUAUUAUAGCUAACGCGUUAAACAUUCCGCCUGGGGACUACGGUCGCAAGAUUAAAACUCAAAGGAAUUGACGGGGACCCGCACAAGCGGUGGAGCAUGUGGUUUAAUUCGAUGCAACGCGAAAAACCUUAUCACUCCUUGACAUGGAAAUUAUACCUAUUCGAAGGGAUAGGGUCGGUUCGGCCGGAUUUCACACAGGUGUUGCAUGGCUGUCGUCAGCUCGUGUCGUGAGAUGUUGGGUUAAGUCCCGCAACGAGCGCAACCCUCAUCCUUAGUUACCAUCAGGUAAUGCUGGGGACUUUAAGGAAACUGCCAGUGAUAAACUGGAGGAAGGUGGGGAUGAUGUCAAGUCAUCAUGGCCCUUAUGGAGUGGGCUACACACGUGCUACAAUGGUGGCUACAAUGGGCUGCAAAGUCGCGAGGCUAAGCUAAUCCCUUAAAAGCCAUCUCAGUUCGGAUUGUACUCUGCAACUCGAGUGCAUGAAGUUGGAAUCGCUAGUAAUCGUGGAUCAGCACGCCACGAUGAAUACGUUCUCGGGUCUUGUACACACUGCCCGUCACGCCAUGGGAAUUGGUUUCACUCGAAGCUAACGACCUAACCGCAAGGAGGGAGUUAUUUAAAGUGGGAUCGGUGACUGGGGUG